AUAAUUAUCUCCGAGAAGACGUGAACAGUCACGUUGGUGUGACGUCAUCGCGUCGCGCUGUUACCAUGGACACGGACACAGGGUUCAACAUGAGUUGACGUUAGUUCACUAAACAGGUUCUCCAAACAAAACCCGUUAAUUUCUGUAGAACUUGAAGUAAAAAACAAGAAGAAGAGGACUGUCCCUGCAGCCUUCCAGGACCUGCUGCUGAGGAGCAUCCCCAGAACAUGAUGCUGCCUCCACCAUGCUGCACACUGGAGAUGGUGUGUUCCUCUCUGUUACCUGGUAAAGCAGCUGUUUCUCCUCAGUGAACUGUCCUGCUGCCACAUCACUCAGCAGCCAAACAAACAGCGUCACGAACACAACAACAAAGGUUCACAUUUGUUUAGCAGCAGUGAGUCUGAAGAGUCACUCUCACAUGAAGCGAGAGAGAAAACAUGAUGUUGGUUCUUCUUCUGCUCCUCACGACUGCACCAGGCCUGUGUGCUGGACGUCAGUACCAUUUAAUUUCUGACCCGAAGACUUUUACUGAAGCACAAAGUUACUGCAGAGAGAAAUACACAGACCUGGCCACUAUAGACAGCAUGGAGGAUGUGGAGACCCUGAAGAAAAUGGCAGAAACAGCAGGAGUUUCCUCUGUGAGUU